rnacentral:lncRNA from 1 species
AAGACUCUCAAGAAGGAGCUACCUCAUGUAGCAAACCACUCUGUAAGGGACCAGGCUCCAUGGCAGUUGUUGCUCAGAUGGCCAGACCCUAGACUGCUAGAGCCCUCCUGUUCAUCUCAGCUGAAGUCUGCUCCUUCUCUGAGAAGUCUCUUGUGUCCACGACUGCUGGCUCCCCUCCACCCACCUGACCCAAGUCCUGAACAAUUUGCUGUCUUAGCAGUAACAGACUAUUCAGCAUUUAUUUUGAAGAACAGUACUUUUAUGAAGUAUCAUGGUAAAAAAAUUACUAAUAAGGAUGCUAAGACAGAGCACAUAGAGUACCUUGGAAAAUCCAGCUUACUUCCAGGAAGCUGCACUGACUUCAGUGGUCCUUUAUACAGGAAGAAAGCCCUGCAUUGCUGUUGAGAUCUGCAAUUACAACUGAAAGAUGAAUACUGGGAUAUGAUAGAAAAGGCCGAGGCUAAGAGGUAGUCCUACACACAGAGAGAAACCUAUGUGAACUUCUAGAUAUAAGAAAGUGAAGUUUUACUUCUGAGAUAUAGUCUACUCAGCUAUUCCUGGAUGGGACUGCAGUGGUAAUGCAACGGAAGUGAGUAUUGUAACAUCUCUUGUACGUUGUGUGCUGCUGUGUUCUAUAUGUCUUCUAUAGUUGGGUAUUUUGGACUAUUUCUUCUGCAUUAAUCCUCAUGAAUUUCCUUUGGAGCUUCAGAAUUGAUGACAUGAUGUAGUGUAUGCAUGGUAAUAGACAGGUGGCAAAUAUGUAUACAGUAUCUUUUCUUUUUAAUUUAAAACUUCAAGGAUGAAAAAAAGGCAUAUUUUCUGCCAUUUUAUGUAAUUCUUGUGGAAUAACAGAGAGUGUAGUAAUCCAAUCUACAUAUGCUUUAUGCUAUCCAUCCAAUUAUUCUGGGUAGGGUCUCCAUAUGUGUAUGUUCUGACAAGUCCUAAAAUAAAUUACCAUGUGGUAUUGUUUCA